AUGAAACAUGCUGUGCUGGUUUCUGAAAACCAAGAGGCCUGGAGAGAAAUUUAUGACUUUGAAACAAAAUUUAGAGGUUGAAGGAUCUAACAAUUUGCAAAGAACACAGAGCUAAGCCCAUGAAAAAGACUGUUCAAAAGGUCCUGGCAUAGAGUGCUCAGGUCUUUUUCAAACGUCCCCACAGAAGCUCUUGGGAAUCCGAAAGCGUAAAAAUGGGGAGAGAGCAUUUUAAAGACAUCUUUCCCCCGAAAGCCGGUGCCUGCGAGACUGUGCGUUUUCCCACACGGAUAUGCUGGGCCGUUCUGUCAGCCAGGCAUUUCCUGUGUGCGGCAGUUCCAGAGGCCGGAAGUCCAAGGUUAAGGUGCCGGUGGAUUCAUUUCCUGGUGAGGACCCUCUUCCUGGCUUGCACCUGUGAUUCCUGUAAGUCUCCAUUUUGAAGCUCUCUUGUCCUUUGACCAAGCAUCCAGCACAUCCUCACAACACCCAUAGCCACCUUGAAGACUCUCUUCAAAGCAAUUCUUACUGUUGAUUCCACCACCAUUGCUCCUGACACAUGAAGCAGGAGGACCCAAGGCCAGAGGUCACGGCGGAGAGGUAAGCAGAUAGUCCUCAACGGCAGAUAGGGCUGGGGUUGGAGAGGAACUCCCUAGUAGCUGUUAUAAAUGGAGAUAUGACAGGUGUGAACAAACAACCAAGGACUGAAAGAAAGAAGAGGG